UUCACGCACUCGUACAAUUGCUCCCUCACUCGCCCCCUACCCGUUUCUCUUCCCUAUCUGCAUAUGGCAUCCCCACUGCCCAAUCCCCGCGUUGCUUCUGCUCUGUUACCUCGGCUUGAUAUGUAAAGCACUGUGUGGGCGGGGCUUGUCACAUACGUCCUUAGUGUUAACGUAUUAUAUAGAUAGAUAAAAUACGUUAUUACUAUAUUGACAACAUUAUUCUAAUGCAAGUGUGUUCAGAAGGAAGCCUUUUGAGUUCAAUGGGACUUUCUUUCAGAAUUUUAGACCCUGGCUCCCUCUCUUCCUUUCUGCCUCCCUGUCCAGAGGACCCAGGAGUUAAAACCAGAGAGCCAACUCCCUCUCACCUCAGCAACAGGAACAAGGGCACAGCAAACGCCACAGAGCCCACAAAUUCCAGGAACUCCCGAGCAAUGCGGGGUAAUUCUGAGACAGCGCUGGAGACGGUGUGCCACAUGAUUACGAAAAAGUAUUUGAAGCUGCUCUGAUCACGCAUUGGAUUGUAAAUAGUAGUGUAUAAAUCAGAACUGGGCAAAAUGGUCUUCCAGAACUUGAUGAACGACAACUCCCAUCAUCCGGUAGACCAAGAUUGUCCAGCCCUGGUAUAAAUGCUAAACACAUUAAAGUGCUGUUUCUCAGGUGUUACAAAAUCAUGCUUCUUGAUCUAUGUCUCUCUGGGGAAGCCCACCCACCUCCACAGAAACACUUGAUCAAACCUCAGAAUCCUCU